rnacentral:rRNA from 1 species
UGGGGGAUAUUGCACAAUGGGGGAAACCCGUGAUGCAGCGACGCCGCGUGGGCGAAGAAGUAUUUCGGUAUGUAAAGCCCUAUCAGCAGGGAAGAAGAAAUGACGGUACCUGAGUAAGAAGCACCGGCUAAAUACGUGCC